AUUGAACGCUGGCGGGAUGCCUUACACAUGCAAGUCGAACGGAGUGGCGAUCGGGUGAGUGAUGGAUCGGAAUGUGCCCAGUAGCGGGGGAUAAGUACACGAAAGCGUAGCUAAUACCGCAUACUAUUGGAGCGGCCGAUAUCGGAUUAGCUAGUUGGUGGGGUAACGGCUCACCAAGGCGACGAUCCGUAGCUGGUUUGAGAGGACGACCAGCCACACUGGGACUUGGACACGGCCCAGACUCCUACGGGAGGCAGCAGCGUGGAAGUUUCGCCACUGGGCGCAAGCCAGUGGUCGUCAGGUCGCGGCUGCGGUGAGGGGCUACGCGUUGGAAUGACCCGUCGGCAGCUAUGCGUUACCUUCAGCAUAAGCAUCGGCUAACUACGUGCCAGCCGCCGCGGUAAUAC
rnacentral:rRNA from 1 species